UACGAAGGGGGCUAGCGUUGUUCGGAAUCACUGGGCGUAAAGCGCACGUAGGCGGCUUUUUAAGUCGGGGGUGAAAUCCUGGAGCUCAACUCCAGAACUGCCUUUGAUACUGAGAAGCUAGAGUCCGGAAGAGGAGAGUGGAAUUCCUGGUGUAGCGGUGAAAUGCGCAGAUAUCAGGAAGAACACCAAUGGCGAAAGCAGCUCUCUGGGACGGUACUGACGCUGAGACGCGAAAGCGUGGGGAGCGAACAGG
rnacentral:rRNA from 1 species